GACGAACGCUGGCGGCGUGCUUAACACAUGCAAGUCGAGCGAUGAAGUUCUUUCGGGAAUGGAUUAGCGGCGGACGGGUGAGUAACACGUGGGUAACCUGCCUCAUAGAGGGGAAUAGCCUUCCGAAAGGAAGAUUAAUACCGCAUAAGAUUGUAGUUUCGCAUGAAACAGCAAUUAAAGGAGCAAUCCGCUAUGAGAUGGACCCGCGUCGCAUUAGCUAGUUGGUGAGGUAACGGCUCACCAAGGCGACGAUGCGUAGCCGACCUGAGAGGGUGAUCGGCCACAUUGGGACUGAGACACGGCCCAGACUCCUACGGGAGGCAGCAGUGGGGAAUAUUGCACAAUGGGGGAAACCCUGAUGCAGCAACGCCGCGUGAGUGAUGACGGUCUUCGGAUUGUAAAACUCUGUCUUCAGGGACGAUAAUGACGGUACCUGAGGAGGAAGCCACGGCUAACUACGUGCCAGCCGCCGCGGUAA
rnacentral:rRNA from 1 species